UACGUAGGUGACCAGCGUUGUCCGGAUUUACUGGGCGUAAAGAGCGCGCAGGCGGUCGUUCAAGUCGAGUGUGAAAGCCCCCGGCUCAACUGGGGAGGGUCAUUCGAUACUGAUCGACUCGAAGGCAGGAGAGGGAAGCGGAAUUCCCGGUGUAGUGGUGAAAUGCGUAGAUAUCGGGAGGAACACCAGUGGCGAAGGCGGCUUCCUGGCCUGUUCUUGACGCUGAGGCGCGAAAGCUAGGGGAGCAAACGGGAUUAGAAACCCUGGUAGU
rnacentral:rRNA from 1 species